rnacentral:rRNA from 1 species
UAAAACUAGUUUUAAUAGGGAAAUUUUCUCGAAUUUUAGAGGGCUAAGAAUUAAUAUAUUUUAAUGUGGAAAAAUUAUUUAUAAUUAAUUUUUUGUAAUUAGACGUUAGUCGUUCUUUAUUAUAUCUGGUUUCUUAAGAAAUUAAUUUAAUUAACUGGAGUGGAAUGUUUUUGAUUGGAGAGUUAGUUUUUCAUGUCUGGAAUAUUUAAGGGGAUGAGCUUUUAAAUAGAUUUUUAUAACAGGAAAGGUCUUGAUGAUAUAUAGGAUUAGAAGUUUCCAGUUUAGUGUGUUUUUACUGAAUUUUGAGUAAGAUUAAUUUUUUUUUGUUUAAGUUUUUUAUUAGGAUAAUAGCUUUAAUGAGUAGGUUUUGUAAUAAUGAUGAAAUUAGUAGAAUUAAAUGUAUUAGGAUAAUACAGGGUUUAAUAUUAUUUUAAGGAAUUAGGCAAAUUUCUUUUCGCCUGUUUAAUAAAAACAUGGCUUUUUGUUAAUUAUAUAAAGUCAGGCCUGCCCAAUGAUAAUUUAAAUGGCUGCGGUAUAUUGACCGUGCAAAGGUAGCAUAAUCAUUAGUUUUUUUAUUGAAAGCUGGAAUGAAGGGUUUAACGAGAAAGAAGCUGUCUUGAUUUAAUAAUUUGAAUUUUAUAUUUGAGUGAGAAAGCUUAAAUUUGUGUGAGGGACGAGAAGACCCUAUAGAAUUUAAUAGUUAAGUUUUAUUAGUUUUUUGGAUUAGGAAUUCUGGUAUAGGCAAGAAUUAUUUUGUUGGGGUGAUGGGAAAAUUUGAUUAACUUUUCUUUUUUAGUUUUCACUGAUAAGUGAUUUCAUGAUCCAUUAGAAUUGAUUAUAAGAAAAAAUUACCUUAGGGAUAACAGCGUUAUUAAUCUGGAGAGUCCAAAUCGAUAGAUUAGUUUGCGACCUCGAUGUUGGAUUAAAAUUAGCUUUUGGUGAAGGGACUAGAUAGCUGAGUCUGUUCGACUUUUAAAAUUUU